GACGAACGCUGGCGGCGUGCCUAAUACAUGCAAGUCGAGCGAAGUUUUUCUGGUGCUUGCACUAGAAAAACUUAGCGGCGAACGGGUGAGUAACACGUAAAGAACCUGCCUCAUAGACUGGGACAACUAUUGGAAACGAUAGCUAAUACCGGAUAACAGUAUUUCUCGCAUGAGAGAUAUUUAAAAGUUGGUUAUGCUAACACUAUGAGAUGGCUUUGCGGUGCAUUAGCUAGUUGGUGGGGUAAAGGCACACCAAGGCGACGAUGCAUAGCCGACCUGAGAGGGUGAUCGGCCACACUGGAACUGAGACACGGCCCAGACUCCUACGGGAGGCAGCAGUAGGGAAUCUUCCGCAAUGGGCGAAAGCCUGACGGAGCAACGCCGCGUGAGUGAAGAAGGAUUUCGGUUCGUAAAGCUCUGUUGUUAGGGAAGAAUGGAUAUGUAGUAACUAUACAUGUAAGAGACGGUACCUAACCAGAAAGCCACGGCUAACUACGUG
rnacentral:rRNA from 1 species